rnacentral:rRNA from 1 species
ACACGACUACAUUAGAUACCCGCGUAGUCCUAGCCGUAAACGAUACUCGCUAGGUGUCGGCCACGGUGCGACCGUUGUCGGUGCCGUAGGGAAGCCGUGAAGCGGGCCACCUGGGAAGUACGGCCGCAAGGCUGAAACUUAAAGGAAUUGGCGGGGGAGCACCACAACGGGUGGAGCUUGCGGUUUAAUUGGAUUCAACGCCGGAAAUCUUACCGGGACCGACAGCAACAUGAAGGCCAGGCUGAAGACUUUGCCGGAUUAGCUG